rnacentral:lncRNA from 1 species
UCUAACUGGACCUAUUUGUGGGCUAUGGGGAACACGUCAGGACUGAAAAGAGGCUCCACUUUCUCCUUCCUGAAUGGAAUGGACAUGUUCAACCUAUGGUGGGCAGCAGCAGCCCACAUGCUUGAUAUCUGAACAAAGAAGGAAGAGAUUUCUACUUCUACCAGGCAAAGUUCACCUCCAAAGGGAGUGUGCUGGGGGAAAACACAGCUUGCUCACAUCAAAGAUGAAUUGAUACUAACAUUUGCACACCCAGGGGCCUGGCUCUCAAGCCACAUGGCACGUGUAGUCUGGAGACACCUGAGCAUGAUUCCCAAGCCAGGUCUGACUGGGGCAGAACUGCUGCAAAGAAUGCGUACUAAAUCUCAAACAGGAGGUGGCCAGCACAACUCUCCCCAGCUCACGACGGGCUGAUCAUGCAUAAGCCACACACCACGUAGCAGAUGUCACACGCUCAGUUUUACACCACACACAGCCCAGGAAGGAGGGAGAAGCAGUGUGGGAGAACAUGUGGGGAAGUAACUGCAAGCUGCAGACGUUCAGAUGCUCAGUGCCCAGGGACUGUCUGCCAGCAUGCACAGUGUCAAUAAAAGCAGUGUUGAAUUGUUUGCAAUCCAAGCCUCAUUCAGCUCUACUGUGGUGUGGUUUAUGGGCUUGAUGGAUGGAACAGUGCUCACCCAGAGCUCAUUUGCUGAGGC